UCGCUUCGGCAGCAAAUAUGCUAAAAUUGGAAAGAUACAGAGAUUAACAUGGCCCCUGGGAAAGGAUGACGUGCAAAUUCAUGAAGCGUCCCAUAUAUUU
rnacentral:snRNA from 1 species